rnacentral:rRNA from 1 species
AAUUGACGGGCCCCGCACAAGCAGCGGAGCGUGUGGUUUAAUUCGAUGUUACACGAAGAACCUUACCUGGGAUUGACAUGAAGGUAGUAGGGAAGCGAAAGCUGACCGACUCUUCGGAGAGCCUUCACAGGUGCUGCAUGGCUGUCGUCAGCUCGUGCCGUGAGGUGUCGGGUUAAGUCCCGUAACGAGCGCAACCCUUGCCCUUAGUUGCACGUGUCUAGGGGGACUGCCGGCGGGAAGCCGGAGGAAGGUGGGAUGACGUCAAGUCAGCAUGGCCCUUACAUCCCGGGCUACACACGUGCUACAAUGGCAGGUACAGAGGGCUGCGAUACCGCGAGGUGGAGCGAAUCCCAGAAAGCCGGUCUCAGUUCGGAUUGGGGUCUGCAACUCGACCCCAUGAAGUCGGAGUCGCUAGUAAUCGCAGAUCAGCAACGCUGCGGUGAAUACGUUCCCGGGCCUU